GAGCCGCCGCGGGCUCCGAGGAGUCGGCCGAGCUGCUCCCGCGCCCUGGCCGGACGUUUGAAACUAUUGCUUUGCUGAAAACAUCUGACUGCCAGGCUAGGAUGUGACACUUAAGAAGUGAAGAUCCUUAGAGGGAGAAUUGCAAAAUGGAAGUAUCCUAAGUCCCUGAGUCCCUGAGCCACCCAGUGGAGGAUUAUCCAAAACACAAAGCCUGUGUGUGCAUAGGUAUACAGGGACUUACCAAUUUGGGAUUCUUCCAGGAGCUGAAAACUGAUUGCAAAUAUGAAACAGAUUUCACUACAGGACUUGAACCCUACAUUAAAAAACAACAAGCUCCCCAAAAUAAUUGAAAAAGAUCUUCACCAAAGAGUAGCUGCAAUGUGAAUGGCAGGAUAUGAAGCAAGUAAGAGAUGGUGAAAAGAUUAUCUUAAGCUUGGAAUUAAGUGAUGAAAGGGACCUUCGAAAUUAUCAACUCUAAAUACUUCUUUACAGGAAAAUUGAAAGCAGUUAAGAACCUGCCCCCUACCGUGGAGUUCUUGGUGCCGUGAGUUGGAGUUCUUGGUGCCUGGGUGCGUCCCCAAGGCCACUGGUCUUCAGAUCUUUCUUACUUGAGAAGAACGCCUCCGCCUCCUGGCUCUCCCACCAGUGGUAUUGCCACCACCACACACCAGCAUAAAGCACAGAUUGCUGCCCAGCUCCUUGGAGAGGGGCCAGUGCAUUUGUCAGGAAUUGAAAAGUUUUGGAGCCAGUUCGAGGACUUUCUCCUGCACAAAGUGUUGGCUGGAAGCAUGAAGCAAUAACACAUGGUUUGCCAAAGAAUCUGCAUUGAAUAAUACUGGUGGUGACCACAAGAACAUGCCUCUCUGACUGCAAGGAACAAGAGUGACCCAGGGUUUCAGCUGCUGCCUUGGAAAUUCAUCACAGUGCAAGUCUAUGCUUCCCACGGGCUGCUCCCAGCCUGUGAAUAAGCCUGGCAUCUUUGUUGAGGCAGGCCUAUUUCUGGAGAUGCAGGAUCCUCCGAUGGGCGAAUUUGGCUCUAGGACUGCUUGAUGGCCUUGACAGACUUUCCUUAGAAAUGCAUGGCAAUUUAGGGUUCCUCCACCCUUCCCUCUUUCUCUCCUUCACCUAGGGUCGGACUUGCAUCAUGGCCUGAAAGCUCCACCAGCCUCUCCUGCCCUCCUCCUCAUUUUCUUUCACAGGCAUAUCCUCUAAUAAAUUUCUUGCACAUUGAAUCU
rnacentral:lncRNA from 1 species